UGGUGUCUGCAAUAGUGGUCACUACACAACU
rnacentral:piRNA from 2 species